CCCCUCUACAAUUACCAGCCAUACAGUAUUAUGAUUGAAGUACUGAGGCACUGUUAUUAAUGUUAAUUUGUAGGCGACUCCACCAGUUGAGGCAGUUAUUCUUGUUCUCUCCUUCAUCUGGUCUCUACUCUUGUCCUCUUCCUAUGACUGAUGGAGGAGCUAGACUAAUUGAAUUGAGUUAUGCUGAUAUGAUGAAGAGAGUUGAUCCGUUACGUAAAGAAUUGAAAGAUUUGGAAACCAAAGCGGAGGACACUCGUC